rnacentral:lncRNA from 1 species
UAAUUGUUCAAAUGCAAAAAUUGAUGUCUACAUUUAGAAUUUGUUAAUUUUUAGUAUUCUUAGUUACAAUUUCUCAUUAGUAGAAUACAGAGAGAAAAAAAAUUCUCCUUGGAUAAAAUUUUCUCAGUUGAAACUAGUGAUCAUUAUUGGAUUUUGUGAAUCUGAAGGAAGAAUAGUGUGGUCCUGAUUGAGUGGUGGUGGUGCACACUCAUAACACUAGCAGUUGGGAGGCAGAAGCAGUAGUGUCAAUACAAGGUUAAGCCUAGCCUUGUCUAUAGACCAGCCCGAGCCAUAGAGUGAUAUCCUGUCUCAAAAGAAAAAAAUAACAACCCAGUAAAAACGUUACUGUAAGUCACUCCUUAGUGGCAGGAAUAUGUAGGGACAUAGGCUGUUUCAGGCUGUUUAGUCCUGUCCUUUUUUUUUUUUUUUAAAGUCAGAUUGGCCUUGAACUUUUUAUCCUCCUUUUCUUUGCCUCCUAAUUGCUGGGAUUACAGGCAGACACCACCAUUCCUGGUCCUGUCUUUAUAAUGUUAAACUAUAUGUUUACCCCUUUCAAUCUCAUCCUUCAAUUUUUGCUUAGAUCAGUAGUUCUUAAUUUUUUGUUUUGAAGACAACCUCUUUCUUUGAACAUUAUAAGAUCCCAAAGAGCCUUUGUUUAUAUGGAAUUAAUUUAGUGAUACUUAUCACAUUACAAUUCAAAGUGAAAAUUUGUUUAUCAAUACCAAAAACAUACUAUGUAUAAAAUAAUAGUUUAUGAAAAAUGCCAUAUUUUCUAAAAUAAGUCUUAUUAACAAUUUAAUAAAAAUACUGUUUUACAGUAUUACAAGUCUCUAUUCUCCCUAGCUAGUAGAUGUAAUCUCAUUUCUGUUCUCCUUCCAGUUUCUUCCUUCAGUCUAUUUCAGACCAUGUUAUAAACUUCCAAAAUCUCUAUCCUCCUCCUCUGUUCUCAGGCCAAAUUGGAUUUGAAAGGGCUUGCCUUAUCAUUACUAUUAUUGAAUAUUACAUUGUUGUUGUUGUUAGCCUUUGUUCUUUAGUCUAUGGAAUUCAGAAAACCAGGUUCUCACUGGCUCAUGGUCAUGAAAUUAUGGGUAAAUUACACAACUGAUUGAAACAUCACUUUUCUAAUCCUUUUGAUACAAUUAGCUCCCCCUACCUCAUAAUUUGUUGUGACAACUAUAUAAAAUAAUUGAAUAAGAAAAGUUUAAAAGUAAUUCAGAACUCAGGUUUGAUUUAGUUACUUUUGUAACUGAACUGUUCUAUUUCACAUUCUCUACUGUCUUUUCCUGUAAGAGUGUUUUUCUAAAUGGAAUUUAGUAUUUGUAGGAUGAAUAUUAUUCUCUAACUUUUGUCAAAGAUUAUAUAUUCUUCCAGGCUUAGCAAUAGUUAUGCUCAGUUACAUAUUUUACAUUUUACAUAUUUUCAGAUAAACAUUCUAGACUUUGACUUCUUCCUCAGUACUGUUAUGUAUUAGAUGCUAAUAAACAGUUUAAUCCCUUCUUUUUGGAGCAUAGAGCACUUUAAAAAAUAUAGUAACACCAUUCUGGGGGACUCCCAAGGUGAACAGGAAUACAUAAAGGAAGAUGAAACGGAGCAAAAUGAGAUAAGCCUCUUUAAAAACAAAAAAUAAAAUGCUAAUUUUUAUUUAUUAAUGUACUAGGAAGGCGCAGGUAUCUUUCUUCAGAGUAAUAAUGGAUUUGACCUGAACAGAAUGGGUAAGAAGAAAAGACCUUACCCACACUGUGAAGUGACAUGACUAAGAAAGGGUAGGAUACAAGGGGCCAGUUCAGAAUAGGGAAAAACCACAGGGUGUGUGAAGGGAAAGAAAGCAGAUGUUGAAGUCCAAUCAAAUCAUUUUAAGUAUGCUCUUCCCCCCAAACCAAAUUUCUCUUUCCCUCUUCCCUACAACCCCUAUUUCCACACAGCAAAUUCCUUUCAGUCUUUGCUUCAGGUCAGCCGUGAGUGCAGCUUUGCUGUUAAGUAUUCCUGCCAUGUGCUUUGUAUGCUCCUGAGUCCUUGUAUUGUGUGCCCCUUUUCCCAAGCCUAAAAUCAUUUUACUUUUUUCAGUUCUGUUCUAUUUAAAAUUCAAUUCAAAUUGUGUUUUUUUUUUUUUUAAUUGUCUUGGACUAGAGAUGCAUCAUCUCUCUUUUCCAGUAGUUUUUAAAGAGCGUACUGUUCUGGUCUUUAAAAUUUUGAAGUGUCAGAGAGAUGUUUCAGGAGGUUAAGAGCACUGGCUGCUCCCAGAUAACCCGGGUUCUAUUCACAGGGCCCAGUUCCAAGGGCACUGCACACAGUGAUGCAUAGAUGUAUGCAGGCAAAACACCCAUUCACAUAAAAUAAAAUGAUCUUUAAAAAAUACUAAAGCAUCCUAAUCUUAUUGAUUGUUAUCUUAAGCUGUUUAUUUAUAUCUUACAACAUUAUAUAACAUACUCAGUGUAAGCUUUAUGUUUUUUAAUGAGUUAAUUUCUGAGUUUUAUGCUGUUAUUUGGUUUGGUUAUUUAUCUGGUACUGGGAACUGAACCCUGGGUUCUUGAUGCAUUAUUUACCAGUGAGUUACACCUUCUGACCAAAUUAUGAACUCAAAAUUGUUUCUCCUAAUGUCUCCCUUUUGUUCUUCUUAUGCCAUCUUUUUUUCUCAUGUUUUAAGAUUUAUAUUUCUCUUAGUUGAUCAAAAUUGAAUUGAGCCAUAAAAACACAUAAACCCUCCUAAGCUCCAGACACUUAGGCCAGUCCUUUGUUCUCUAGACUCCCUUUAGAUACCUUGUAAAACUUGAAUGUUUUUUACCAUAUCAGGUGGGGCUUGUUUUUUUUAGGCAAAUUUUAUUAUUUAUUUUUAUAGGUAUGGAAAAGUUGAGGCCACUCGCAUAUUAUUAGAGAAAGGAAAGUGCAAUCCAAACCUUUUAAAUGGGCAGCUCAGCUCACCGCUUCACUUUGCUGCUGGAGGCGGCCAUGCUGAAAUAGUGCAGAUCCUCCUGACUCACCCAGACAUUGACAGGGUACGUUAGUUUCUUGUUUUUAUAUUUUAAUACUUAGCGACUAAUAAGUAGUGAUAAAAAAAUGUUUAAUUGCAUAUUUAACAGGUCAACUAAAACAAACUUUAUAGAGUUUAUGUAUUAACUGUGCCUCUUCUCAUAAGUUUUUAAUUGUUGUUAUUGAUAAAGUACACUUUACACUUCACAAAAAAUGCAGUGUUUUAACCACUUAGAUGCACAGUUCAGAGCAUCUACUACAUGUAUUGUUUAUAAAGUCAUUACAUAUAUCCAUCUCCAGAAUAUACAUGAAAUUCACUCUACAUUGCAUUUCCCCCAACAUGUCCUGAAAGAAAACCUUUUACCCAUUUUCUAAAAUUUUCUACUGACAAGUAUUUGG